GCUCCGUUGGUGAACCAGCGGAGGGACCAUUACCGAGUUUACAACUCCCAAACCCAAUGUGAACCAUACCAAACUGUUGCCUCGGCGGGGUCACGCCCCGGGUGCGUCGCAGCCCCGGAACCAGGCGCCCGCCGGAGGGACCAACCAAACUCUUUCUGUAGUCCCCUCGCGGACGUUAUUUUUACAGCUCUGAGCAAAAAUUCAAAAUGAAUCAAAACUUUCAACAACGGAUCUCUUGGUUCUG
rnacentral:misc_RNA from 1 species